UUGCACUCUGGCGGCCGGCCUCACACAUGCAAGUCGCACGGUAACAGGAAGAAGCUUGCUUCUUUGCUGACGAGUGGCGGACGGGUGAGUAAUGUCUGGGAAACUGCCUGAUGGAGGGGGAUAACUACUGGAAACGGUAGCUAAUACCGCAUAACGUCGCAAGACCAAAGAGGGGGACCUUCGGGCCUCUUGCCAUCGGAUGUGCCCAGAUGGGAUUAGCUAGUAGGUGGGGUAACGGCUCACCUAGGCGACGAUCCCUAGCUGGUCUGAGAGGAUGACCAGCCACACUGGAACUGAGACACGGUCCAGACUCCUACGGGAGGCAGCAGUGGGGAAUAUUGCACAAUGGGCGCAAGCCUGAUGCAGCCAUGCCGCGUGUAUGAAGAAGGCCUUCGGGUUGUAAAGUACUUUCAGCGGGGAGGAAGGGAGUAAAGUUAAUACCUUUGCUCAUUGACGUUACCCGCAGAAGAAGCACCGGCUAACUCCGUG
rnacentral:rRNA from 1 species